AGAGUUUGAUCCUGGCUCAGGGUGAACGCUGGCAGCGCGCCUAAAACAUGCAAGUCGAACGAACCUUCGGGUUAGUGGCAAACGGGUGAGUAACACGUGGAUAACCUACCUCAAAGUGGAGCAUACCCUCGAGAAAUCGUGGCUAAUACUCCAUAGUCUGUGGAAGUGAAAUUCAACCACAGUAAAGCUUUUGCGCUUUGAGAUGGGUCUGCGUCCUAUCAGCUUGUUGGUGAGGUAAUGGCUCACCAAGGCUAUGACGGGUAGCUGGUCUGAGAGGAUGACCAGUCACAAUGGCACUGAGACAUGGGCCAUACUCUUACGGGAGGCAGCAGUUAGGGAUCUUCCGCAAUGGGCGAAAGCCUGACGGAGCGACGCUGCGUGGACGAUGAAGGCCUUCGGGUCGUAAGGUCCUUUUCUGAGGGACGAUAAUGACGGUACCUUAGGAAUAAGCAUCGGCUAAUCAUGUGCCAGCAGCCGCGGUAAUACAUGGGAUGCGAGCGUUACCCGGAAUCACUGGGCGUAGAGAGUUCGUAGGCGUUUUUUCAAGUCGCUGAUUAAAGACCGGGGCUUAACUCCGGGAAUGUUAGCGAAACUGUAAGAAUAGAGUGUGGUAGAGGUGAGUGGAAUUCCUGGUGUAGCAGUGAAAUGCGUUGAUAUCAGGAGGAACGCCAAUGGCGAAGGCAACUCACUGGGCCAUUACUGACGCUGAGGAACGAAAGCGUGGGUAGCAAACGGGAUUAGAUACCCCGGUAGUCCACGCCGUAAACGAUGGAUACUAGAUGUCUGAUGCUCGACCCAUUGGGCAUCGCAGUUAACGCGAUAAGUAUCCCGCCUGGGACUACGAGCGCAAGCUUAAAACUCAAAGGAGUAGACGGGGACCCGCACAAGCGGUGGAACAUGUGGUUUAAUUCGACGAUAAACGAAGAACCUUACCAGGGCUUGACAUAUAGCUGCAAACUCUAGGAAACUAGAGUCUCCUUCGAGGGUGCUAUACAGGUGCUGCAUGGUUGUCGUCAGCUCGUGUCGUGAGAUGUCGGGUUAAGUCCCUUAACGAGCGCAACCCUCGUUCUGUGUUAAUUUUUCACAGAAGACUGCCGGUGUUAAAUCGGAGGAAGGUGAGGAUGACGUCAAAUCAGCAUGGCCCUUAUGCCCUGGGCUACACACAUGUUACAAUGGCCAGAACAAUGGGUAGCUAAGUCGCGAGACGGAGCUAAUCCCACCAAAUCUGGUCCCAGUUCGGAUUGGAGGCUGCAACUCGACUCCAUGAAGCUGGAAUCGCUAGUAACCGCAGGUCAGCUAUACUGCGGUGAAUACGUUCCCGGGUCUUGUACUCACCGCCCGUCACACCAUGGAAGCUGGUAUUACCCAAAACUCGCCUUUUUGGCGGACUAAGGUAAGAUCAGUGACUGGGGUGAAGUCGUAACAAGGUA
rnacentral:rRNA from 1 species